UAAAAGUGGAAAAUAUUUCACAUCGUAUAACUACAGAUAAUGAAAAAAAAGAUAAUUGAAAGAAUGAAAACACAAUUUCGACAGAGAAAGGAGGUGCUAUCUGAGACACCAUUUUUUGAUGGUAAGACUAUCAAGGAUUGUUUCCUAGACAGUACCAUUGAUCGAUUAUUGGAAUGUUAUGUUCAAGCUAUAAAAUAUAAUGAAUAUAGCUUAGAUGUUAUAAAAAAAGCUAUAUAUACAAUCUUCUUCCAUAUAGUAUCAACGAAUGACAAGCUGCUUCAAAAUUUUUCUUUAAGCAACUGGUGUAAAUAUAAAAUAGUUGGAGCAGAACUUUAUCUACAAGACUUCUUUACCUGAGCUUGUUAUGUUGAUUGUAUGGCUACUUUACAAAAAUUUGGCAAAUUCAAAUGUAUUGAAGAAAUGUCUCGUAGAAAAAACAUAAUAUAAAUAAAUUAUUCAAUAACACUGUGUGAAUAAGUGUAUCAAAAAAUGUAUUUGUGGAGUCCUAUACAUUGAAACUUGAUUUAUAUGAUGUCAUUAUAUUUAUUGAUGGUAAUACAAGCAGAUUGAAAGAGCUAAGAGGUAAAAUAGCCAUACUGAAAGAAUUGAACAAGCAGGAAAUUAAUAAAGUACAGCUACAAGCUAAAAUAUUGUCUAAAAUGAUAAGAUUUUUGGAAAGAUGAAAGAGAAUUUAUUUGGAUAAUACAGAAGAAGAUGAACAUUAUAAUGGUGAAUGGUUUUAAUUGCUGUUUUUACUAAAACAUUGAUUUGGAGAAAUAGAAACAACGGAAGUGUAUUAAAAAAGAGUGAAUAAAAAGUGGUUUUUAAGGAUGUCAAGAAUGUUACACUCAUCAAGGAGUUUUAGUAUGGUGAAAGUAUAUUUAUAAUCAAACAAACAGGAUUUAUAGAAGAAUUAUUAAUCGAAAAAUUGUUGAGGACAAGUCCUGUUAUCAACCGAAUUUAUCUUUUGAUACAAUUAAAUAAAGAGAAGAAUGCUUCAACGUAAUAAGCUCAUUGGAAAUUCA